CCUUGGGUGUAAAAGAUAUUUCUUAUAUGAGAACAUUCCAGUUGCACAGCAAGCCACGAUGAAUGGCCUUCUGGGUGGAGAUUGGCCUACUUGUGAUCAAGUAUGCAAGCAUGUGAUCUGGCAAAAUAUCUUGCAUUUCUUUAGGCCGUGACUAACUUUCACAUUAUAAGCUGUGUGUCUGAACGCCAAACUCAAGCACAACAAUCGGACAGAAAUAAUCUGUUUACCUCUGUUUUGGUGUCUUUCUGCGUAUUGCAUUCAACUUUUUGACAUCACCACUGAUCUGGUACUUGGACUUUGCCGAUUGGUGGAUACAGACCAGGAAUCUGAUGACAGCUUUUGGGUGAUAAGCUCUAUGCAGAUAAGGAUGUUUAUUGUCAUUUGUAAAAACAUACAAAAAACAACAAAAUGAAGUUGGCGACCCAUCAGAACAUCAGGAACCGGUACAAAAGAAUGUAUAGAAACCUUAAGACAAGACAUUGAAAAAAAGGUGUUUGAUGAUUCUGUUAACUUGACUUUAAAAAGCGGCCUGUCUGGAAUAUAAUAUGCAUAAGUAUAUUUUCAAUAUGAUCCCGUUGUGAGAACAAGUUUUCAGCUACAACACGUCAUUGUUAGUUUAAAAAAAAGAAGGCGACGUAAAAAUAAUCCCUGUGCCGUCGCUGUCUGAUCCAUUGAACCGUCAACACGGUCUGCACUUGAGUUCUUACGCGUUUGGGAACCACAGACGAUGCCUGUGGCCCCGGGGGGGGGGGGGGGGGGCGGCCGUCGGUGACGGCAGGCUGGGGGUGACUGCUGGCGGGGCUCUUGUUCAGGUGUCGUCCGCGCGCGACACGUAGCGCAGGUAAAGGAAAACCGAUCCGGUGUUUUGUGGGUCAUGUCCAGCCGGGUGGUCGGUAACGCAGCCGAGUCGCAGAGCGCACGCGCCUCGCCCGGUCCGCGCGACCACGUGCUCGGUCCUGACUCACACAUGGUAAGCGCGUCCACAUGUGUGCCACAUGAUGAUCGCAUCGAGCAGAUGUGCGUGGGGCACUUUAACGUCGUCGAGGUGGCUUUGACUGCUUGUUUUUGUUUUAUAUUGUUGUUUGAUAAUGCACAUUUAAUUAAAAAAAUUGCUGUAAACGUGCCAAAUGAAUUGGCCAAAGGGCUUUGCGUCAAAUGUAGUCCCAAGUGGCAGGUGUUACAAAAAUAAACCGAAAAUGAGGUUACAUUUAAGAUGUUAAAACAAUAUUGAUACUUUACAAUGCAUGCAGAGGUUUGCUUUACCCUUUUUUUUGAUCAAGUGUUGCCUCUGAUAAGCUAUAACCAACAGUGUGGAAAUCGACUGG
ensembl:lncRNA